rnacentral:pre_miRNA from 1 species
UAGGUAUAUCCUAAGUAGAACUUCUUUUAAUUUGAUCAACUUUAUAAAAAAGUGUUAAUAUCAACAACAUCAAAUAUAUAUGGUAUAAAAAUAUAUGUUAUGAUGAAUCUAAUCAAGCUAAUUUGAUGUUGUAGACAUUGGUAUAUUUUUCUACAAACUUGGUCAAACUUAAAAUAGUUUGACUUAGGACAAAUCUAA